rnacentral:lncRNA from 1 species
AUGUGCCUGCCCCUAGGAAAAAGGCUGCUGGCCAGCCCAGGACAAGCUUCCAGGCCACUCACCUGCUCUCUUCAGUUUUGUGUUUCUUUAAAUGAACCCAGAAUUAGCUCACCAGGUUCUGCCUCUAGUGAACGCAGGAACGACAGAGCCAAUAGUGGCUCCAUCAAUUCAUAUCUAGUUUUGCAGGCAGGUGGCCUUAUCUUUCCUUUGCUUGUUAUUUCCUCCGCCUUCUCUCUCUUUCUUUUGCUUAAAAAGGUGUGUGGCCAUCUCCACCUGGUGGCUUUCACCCAGACCCCUGUUCCAGCAUGCUGUGGGCUCCCCAUCACUGGGGCUGAUGUGCUGGUGAAAGAGCAUGUGUUCUCUGUCCAUACCCCAGCAGAGCACCCUGAAGGCAUGCCUGGGGGUGGAAGGGGACAUCUGUGGCUCCUACACAAUCUGCAGGAGGGGUCCUUCAAAGUAUCUCCACAUCUUCAGAGUCACUCAGGAGAUUCCCACGGAUGGAGAGGGGACUGCACCUGAAGCCUGGUUUCUUGUUCUGAGCUGCUCAAGGUCUCCCUGCUGGCAGAGAAGGAUGCUGAAAUUGAGCUGGUCGGCAGGACAUCCCCAUCAUGGAGCUCAAGAGGAUGGAGGCCAUGAGGGCAGUCUCAGUCUUAAAGCACUUCUCAGGUGCUGCUUUUGCUUCUGCUCUUCCCUG